GCACCAGAUUAGGGGGGUGCUCUUCUAUCCUUUUGGUAGGGCAUUCUCAUUGGAUACGUACUUGGACCACCUUAAGCAAAUAGAGAACCAGGGGACCCACCGGAGCCGGCUUUAUAAAAGGCUUAUGGAUGAGAUUAUAGGGUAUUCUCAUUGGAUACGAACUUGGACCACCUUAAGCAAAUAGAGAACCAGGGGAUCCACCGGAGCCUGCUUCAUAAAAGGCUUAUGGAUGAAAUUUCGAAGGAUAAAUUAGAAUUGGCCUUUGAUGGAAUAAAAAAAGGAGAGACUGGUAGAGCUCAUCUUUGUCAGCGG
rnacentral:lncRNA from 1 species